CAGCGCCACGAGUGGGGAUCAUCUUUAUUUGGCCUAAAGCGUCCGUAGCUGGUUAUGUAAAUCUCUUGUGAAAUCGUUUCGCUCAACGAAACGGCGUGCAGGAGAGACUGCAAAACUAGGGACCGGGAGGAGUUAGAGGUAUACUAGGGGGAGCGGUAAAAUGCAAUAAUCCCUAGUAGACCACCUGUGGCGAAGGCGUCUAACUAGAACGGGUCCGACAGUGAGGGACGAAAGCCAGGGGAGCAAACCGGAUUAGAUACCCGAGUAGUCC
rnacentral:rRNA from 1 species